CGGGACAACGACGAUGCAAUGAGAAAAAAUGUUUAAGAAAAGUUUUUGGAGUCGCCACCAUAGUUUAUUCUGGAAAACUACGGAAAAACCGUAAAAUGAUAAGGCACGGUCUACAAAACCAAAUUCUGGUUUCGGAAGUCGGUUACGUGUGGGGAAGGUGUUAGCACCCCCACAACGCCUGCCCUCAGGCAGUACCUUUAACUAAAUACGCGAAUUUGAUGUGAUUUGCGAAAUGUUUAACUUCCC
rnacentral:lncRNA from 1 species